rnacentral:rRNA from 1 species
AUUGAACGCUGGCGGCAGGCCUAACACAUGCAAGUCGAGCGGAUGACAGGAGCUUGCUCCUGAAUUCAGCGGCGGACGGGUGAGUAAUGCCUAGGAAUCUGCCUGGUAGUGGGGGACAACGUUUCGAAAGGAACGCUAAUACCGCAUACGUCCUACGGGAGAAAGCAGGGGACCUUCGGGCCUUGCGCUAUCAGAUGAGCCUAGGUCGGAUUAGCUAGUUGGUGAGGUAAUGGCUCACCAAGGCGACGAUCCGUAACUGGUCUGAGAGGAUGAUCAGUCACACUGGAACUGAGACACGGUCCAGACUCCUACGGGAGGCAGCAGUGGGGAAUAUUGGACAAUGGGCGAAAGCCUGAUCCAGCCAUGCCGCGUGUGUGAAGAAGGUCUUCGGAUUGUAAAGCACUUUAAGUUGGGAGGAAGGGCAUUAACCUAAUACGUUAGUGUUUUGACGUUACCGACAGAAUAAGCACCGGCUAACUCUGUGCCAGCAGCCGCGGUAAUGCAGAGGGUGCAAGCGUUAAUCGGAAUUACUGGGCGUAAAGCGCGCGUAGGUGGUUUGUUAAGUUGGAUGUGAAAUCCCCGGGCUCAACCUGGGAACUGCAUUCAAAACUGACAAGCUAGAGUAUGGUAGAGGGUGGUGGAAUUUCCUGUGUAGCGGUGAAAUGCGUAGAUAUAGGAAGGAACACCAGUGGCGAAGGCGACCACCUGGACUGAUACUGACACUGAGGUGCGAAAGCGUGGGGAGCAAACAGG